AGUGAUGACUCAAGCAGGGAAAAUCCUCAGGAUGAAUUAGUUAUAAGGCGAUCUACAUGUGGGGCAGACGAGACAUAAAAAUUUAACUUUGCAAAGAGCAAGAGAGAAGAAAGGUUUUUUUAUUUAAAAAAAAAUCCACCCAAAAAUAAUCAGGAGCGGAACUCCGGAUGACACAAUCUGCACACAUUUUUGUAUAGACGGGGACAGUACGGGGAAAGUGUUUGACUAAGCAUCUUUUCAGUAAAUCUCAGUUCAUCUGGAGGAGUCAGAGAUUUGCAUGCAGAUACCAGUCAGCUGUAUUACUCUCACUGUACACGCCCAGUUUUGUAGAGCAGACAGGUCAAAGUGAAGCAUUUUAUAAAAGUAAGACCACAAAUCAUUAUAUUUUUUAAUACUCAAGAUGUGUGACAACACAGGAGAUAAAAAAUCCUCACACUCUAAAGGUAAUUGCAGCUCCUCACAACAUGCUCUGAAUUACCUCUGAGCACACGGACCUGUCUCCUCUUUACCAUGGAAACCAACACCAUACUACAUCCACGCACACUGAGAGAGCAUUUGCCACGGCAUCCAGUUCUGAGGCUACAAGAAGCUUUUAGCGAUCCAACAGAUUUUCCCAGCAGUUAAAUCCCUCAGUCAGAAACCGGCAGAUUUACCUUCUAUCAGCAGAGGACAAGGUCAUGCAUUGCUCAGUCCUGGCAUCUCUCUUGCAGCUGGUGACAGAGGAAAAGAACCUCUUUGGAAUCCCGAGAGAUGCCCGAGGAUGCAGCUGAGCCGGCAUUGCACGCACGCAUCCGCCGCCACUACCACCGCCGGAGAGAGCAGCAGCAGCAGAAGCCAAUCGGAAGGGGAGGGGAGACUGAAGAAAAAAUAAAAAAUAAAAAAA